AUUGAACGCUGGCGGCAUGCCUUACACAUGCAAGUCGAACGGAUCAGAGGGGCUUGCUCCUUUGGUUAGUGGCGAGCGGGUGAGUAAAGCAUCGGAACGUACCCAGUUGUGGGGGAUAACGUAGCGAAAGUUACGCUAAUACCGCAUACGCACUGAGGUGGAAAGCGGGGGACCGAAAGGCCUCGCGCAAUUGGAGCGGCCGAUGUCGGAUUAGCUAGUUGGUGAGGUAAGGCUCACCAAGGCGACGAUCCGUAGCUGGUCUGAGAGGACGACCAGCCACACUGGAACUGAGACACGGUCCAGACUCCUACGGGAGGCAGCAGUGGGGAAUUUUGGACAAUGGGCGAAAGCCUGAUCCAGCCAUGCCGCGUGAGUGAAGAAGGCCUUCGGGUUGUAAAGCUCUUUCAGACGGAAAGAAAUCUUUCGGGUGAAUAUCCCGGAAGGAUGACGGUACCGUAAGAAGAAGCACCGGCUAACUACGUGCCAGCCGCCGCCGUAA
rnacentral:rRNA from 1 species